UGGGGAAUAUUGCACAAUGGGGGAAACCCUGAUGCAGCGACGCCGCGUGAGUGAAGAAGUAUUUCGGUAUGUAAAGCUCUAUCAGCAGGGACGAACGAAGUUGUAAGACUUCUUGACGGUACCUGACUAAGAAGCCCCGGCUAACUACGUGCCAGCAGCCGCGGUAAUACGUAGGGGGCAAGCGUUAUCCGGAUUUACUGGGUGUAAAGGGAGCGUAGGUGGUAUGGUAAGUCAGGUGUGAAAGCCCGGGGCUCAACUCCGGGAUUGCAUUUGAAACUACCAAACUAGAGUGCAGGAGAGGUAAGUGGAAUUCCUAGUGUAGCGGUGAAAUGCGUAGAUAUUAGGAGGAACACCAGUGGCGAAGGCGGCUUACUGGACUGUAACUGACACUGAGGCUCGAAAGCGUGGGGAGCAAACAGG
rnacentral:rRNA from 2 species